rnacentral:rRNA from 1 species
GGGUUGUGAGGUUAAGCGACUAAGCGUACACGGUGGAUGCCCUGGCAGUCAGAGGCGAUGAAGGACGUGCUAAUCUGCGAUAAGCGUCGGUAAGGUGAUAUGAACCGUUAUAACCGGCGAUUUCCGAAUGGGGAAACCCAGUGUGAUUCGUCACACUAUCAUUACGUGAAUACAUAGCGUAAUGAAGCGAACCGGGGGAACUGAAACAUCUAAGUACCCCGAGGAAAAGAAAUCAACCGAGAUUCCCCCAGUAGCGGCGAGCGAACGGGGAGCAGCCCAGAGUCUGAAUCAGCUUGUGUGUUAGUGGAACGGUCUGGAAAGUCCGACGGUACAGGGUGAUAGUCCCGUACACCAAAAUGCACAGGUUGUGAACUCGAAGAGUAGGGCGGGACACGUGGUAUCCUGUCUGAAUAUGGGGGGACCAUCCUCCAAGGCUAAAUACUCCUGACUGACCGAUAGUGAACCAGUACCGUGAGGGAAAGGCGAAAAGAACCCCGGCGAGGGGAGUGAAAAAGAACCUGAAACCGUGUACG